rnacentral:rRNA from 1 species
UACGGGGGGGGCAAGCGUUGUCCGGAUUUAUUGGGCGUAAAGAGCUCGUAGGCGGCUUGUCGCGUCGUCCGUGAAAACUUGUGGCUUAACCACAGGCUGGCGGUCGAUACGGGCAAGCUGGAGUUCGGUAGGGGAGACUGGAAUUCCUGGUGUAGCGGUGAAAUGCGCAGAUAUCAGGAGGAACACCGGUGGCGAAGGCGGGUCUCUGGGCCGAUACUGACGCUGAGGAGCGAAAGCGUGGGGAGCGAACAGG